rnacentral:rRNA from 1 species
AUUGAACGCUGGCGGCAGGCUUAACACAUGCAAGUCGAGCGGGGUGAUGGUGCUUGCACUAUCACUUAGCGGCGGACGGGUGAGUAAUGCUUAGGAAUCUGCCUAUUAGUGGGGGACAACAUCUCGAAAGGGAUACUAAUACCGCAUACGUCCUACGGGAGAAAGCAGGGGAUCACUUGUGACCUUGCGCUAAUAGAUGAGCCUAAGUCGGAUUAGCUAGUUGGUGGGGUAAAGGCCUACCAAGGCGACGAUCUGUAGCGGGUCUGAGAGGAUGAUCCGCCGCACUGGGACUGAGACACGGCCCAGACUCCUACGGGAGGCAGCAGUGGGGAAUAUUGGACAAUGGGGGGAACCCUGAUCCAGCCAUGCCGCGUGUGUGAAGAAGGCCUUAUGGUUGUAAAGCACUUUAAGCGAGGAGGAGGCUCUUUUGGUUAAUACCCAGGAUGAGUGGACGUUACUCGCAGAAUAAGCACCGGCUAACUCUGUGCCAGCCGCCGCAGUAA